rnacentral:rRNA from 1 species
UGGGGAAUAUUGGACAAUGGGCGAAAGUCUGAUCCAGCAAUACCGCGUGUGUGAAGAAGGCCUUCGGGUUGUAAAGCACUUUAAGUUGGGAAGAAAAAACUUUACCUAAUACGUGAAGUCUUGACGGUACCGACAGAAUAAGCACCGGCUAACUCUGUGCCAGCAGCCGCGGUAAUACAGAGGGUGCUAGCGUUAAUCGGAUUUACUGGGCGUAAAGCGUGCGUAGGUGGUUUGAUAAGUCGGUUGUGAAAGCCCCGGGCUCAACCUGGGAAUUGCGGCCGAUACUGUCAGACUCGAAAACGGUAGAGGGAGGUGGAACUCCAGGUGUAGCGGUGAAAUGCGUAGAUAUCUGGAAGAACAUCGAUGGCGAAGGCAGCCUCCUGGGCCUGUUUUGACACUGAGGCACGAAAGCGUGGGUAGCAAACA